rnacentral:rRNA from 1 species
UACGUAGGGAGCAAGCGUUGUCCGGAAUCAUUGGGCGUAAAGCGCGCGUAGGUGGCCCUGUAAGUCCCUUGUGAAAGUCAAAGGCUCAACCUUUGAAAGCCGAUGGAUACUGCAGGACUAGAGUACGGAAGAGGCGAGUGGAAUUCCUGGUGUAGCGGUGGAAUGCGCAGAUAUCAGGAGGAACACCAAUAGCGAAGGCAGCUCGCUGGGACGUUACUGACACUGAGGCGCGAAAGCUAGGGGAGCAAACAGG